AGCAGCCGCCACGGUAAAACGGAGGGUGCAAGCGUUAAUCGGAAUUACUGGGCGUAAAGCGCACGCAGGCGGUCUGACAAGUCAGAUGUGAAAUCCCCGGGCUUAACCUGGGAACUGCAUUUGAAACUGUCAGGCUGGAGUCUUGUAGAGGGGGGUAGAAUUCCAGGUGUAGCGGUGAAAUGCGUAGAGAUCUGGAGGAAUACCGGUGGCGAAGGCGGCCCCCUGGACAAAGACUGACGCUCAGGUGCGAAAGCGUGGGGAGCAAACAGGAUUAGAUACCCGAGUAGUCCCUGUCUCUUAUAC
rnacentral:rRNA from 1 species